AGCUCUCCGUCUCUCUCAGCCUCUGUCUUUCUCCCUGUCUCCCCCACUGUCAGCACCUCUUCUGUGUGGUGAGUGGACCACUUACCCCACUAGGUGAAGAUGUCAGCCCAGGAGAGCUGCCUCAGCCUCAUCAAGUACUUCCUCUUCGUUUUCAACCUCUUCUUCUUCGUCCUGGGCAGCCUGAUCUUCUGCUUCGGCAUCUGGAUCCUCAUCGACAAGACCAGCUUCGUGUCCUUUGUAGGCUUGGCCUUCGUGCCUCUGCAGAUCUGGUCCAAAGUCCUGGCCAUCUCGGGAAUCUUCACCAUCGGCAUCGCCCUCCUGGGUUGUGUGGGGGCCCUCAAGGAGCUCCGCUGCCUCCUGGGCCUGUAUUUUGGGAUGCUGCUGCUCCUGUUUGCCACACAGAUCACCCUGGGAAUCCUCAUCUCCACUCAGCGGGCCCAGCUGGAGCGAAGCUUGCAGGACGUCGUAGAGAAAACCAUCCAAAAGUACGGCACCAACCCCGAGGAGACCGCGGCCGAGGAGAGCUGGGACUACGUGCAGUUCCAGGCCCGACGCCCCCCACUUCCCAAAUGACACAACUGGCCCCGGCGUC
rnacentral:sRNA from 1 species